GAUAAAGCUGUAGUUUACAACAGACGACUGACUGAGGAGAGACCAAUCCAGGAGCAGAUUGCAGAGGCAGAUGAUGUAAAAGCAGCAGUGGAGUCUGCAGACACCAAACCUGCUGUGGAGCCUAAAGAGGUGAAGGAGGUGGAACCAGAGCAGAGAACGAUGACUUCACCCUGCUCAAGUCCCUGCCGAAGGUCAAAGGUCAAAAGAGACCAAUGAGACGCCGGUCAGAGAUAGCCUGGAGGAGUGCCUUACUUCCCAGACGAAUCAGAUUCCACCAAGAACCGCCGGCUAGCCGAAGACUAUGACUCAACAAAGAUGGAAAACGGCAAGUACCAAGGUAUCUAGUUUAGUCUGUUUAUACUACA